CCUACGGGUGACAGCAGUGGGGAAUAUUGCACAAUGGGGGAAACCCUGAUGCAGCGACGCCGCGUGAGCGAAGAAGUCUUUCGGUACGUAAAGCUCUAUCAGCAGGGAAGAAAAUGACGGUACCUGACUAAGAAGCCCCGGCUAACUACGUGCCAGCAGCCGCGGUAAUACGUAGGGGGCUAGCGUUAUCCGGAUUUACUGGGGGUAAAGGGAGCGUAGACGGCAGCGCAAGUCUGGAGUGAAAUCCCGGGGCUUAACCAUGGACCAGCCUUGGAAACGGGGCAGCUGGAGUGCAGGAGAGGUAAGCGGAAUGCGUGGGGUAGCGGUGAAAUGCGUAGAUAUUAGGAGGAACACC
rnacentral:rRNA from 1 species